rnacentral:rRNA from 1 species
GUGCCAGCCGCAGCGGUAAUACGGGGGUGCAAGCGUUAAUCGGAAUUACUGGGCGUAAAGGGCGCGUAGGUGGUUACUUAAGUCAGAUGUGAAAGCCCCGGGCUCAACCUGGGAAUUGCAUUUGAUACUGGGUAACUAGAGUGUGGUAGAGAGUAGCGGAAUUUCUGGUGUAGCGGUGAAAUGCGUAGAUAUCAGAAGGACACCAAUGGCGAAGGCAGCUGCUUGGGCCAACACUGACGCUGAGGCGCGAAAGCGUGGGAG